UUGAGACCACAACUCUUCUCUGCUUCUUAAAAGCCUUUCCCUGGGAGAAGCUGUAGGACGCGGCGGAAUGUCUUUCUUCUUUGUGUCUGUGCUGGCUAAAGCAGGACAGAGGAGCUUGAAAAGGCUCGCCCUCCUCAAGGAACGUUAUCUGAUUCGUAAGCAUUCCUAGAGGUUAAGGCUGGUGACUAUCAAGAAAGCAAAUACUUCACGCAAGGCAAUAAAAACAUAGAGAUGUUGCAACCCAAGUACCCAAGUGAAGACAAAGCUCCAUCUGAGGAUGCCUUGGGUUCCAGAAGGUUCAGGUUCACAGCAUGAGCUUGGAGACUGGCUGUUGAGAAAAUACUGGCUGGGUGACUGAAAGGUCAGAGAAGAUGCUUCAGGAAGACUUUCAAGCAACAGUAAAUAUGGAAGCUGUUCCAGAGGGUGGGACUGGUCUUCUGUUUAUCUGGUACUAGAGGCACUUUUUUGGGCAUGUGAUUUGUAAGCGUUAUAAAAUGAUGGACUCAUAAUGGCCUUAUCCAUCUCCUACCAAGAAACAAGCAGCACUAAUAAACUUAAUCCUCAACACAGUCCUAACAGUAUUUCCAAGGGCUGUUUCAGCAAAUAUAAACACAUUAAAGAAUAGCCAGAAACCCAAUCUGCUCAGCAAUCACAGAUUUCUCAGUUGUGUGUUGAAGGCAUAGCAACCCAAAUUACCCUUGAAAUUACUCUAUUUAUUUCAAGUCAUACCCUUUUCCAAGCUGUAUUUUUAGACAACUUCAUACUAGUAGUACAAGAGUUUGUUCCAGACAAGGACUUAACUUGGGUUUAUGUUAACAUAUAAUUUGUAAAAGUCUGUAAUAAACAUCCUUCACUGAGACUGGCAGAAAGUGUAGGAAGGAAAACACCACCACUAACUUUGGCUACUUGCUUUGAUUCAGACUUCAUUGUGCGAUGUUUGUUUUGAGAGCUCCAAAACUGCACAGAAGUGAUGAAUCGUUGUGUCACUAAGACCAGAAUUUCCAAAACAGCCUUGUCUUUUUAGAUUUUGACUUCCAAUAUAAAUAUUCACCAGAGGCCUGGUGUUGGAUCGGAAAGUGUGCUAGCAGGCUUUCAUUCAGAUAGAAAGAAAUACGCAAUGCAUGAUUCAGGACCUUAAGCCUGAGCUGGCAUCCUGUAAUGCACUCACUGAAGCUGAUAAAAUUUUAGGGUGAAGAGGAAGUGCCAGCUGAAGUUUUACAAAUCAACACUCAGUGAAUAUUUAUGUAAAUAAACAGGAAAAGCAAAGUGCCAGUAUGCACAUGCUGCUGGCCACUCUGAAACUGCUACUCUUCCCAGGCCAGUGGUUAUAUCCUUUAGAAUAACAGGACCAUCAUUAUUUUUCCAGUGCUGAGACAGUUUCCCCUCUGUUAGUCACACAGAGUAAAAGCAGGCCUGAAAUCUCAGUUCAGCUCUGUUUGGAAACUAGUAUUUUUCAUAAAGAUGGAAGGAAACCACCAGGAACUUAUUUCUCUGCAGAGGCCUUCAGUUUUCCCAUGGCCACUCUUUUCUCCACACUGACCAGCUUCUCUGCAUUGGGUAAAGUUUUGGACUCCUUCAAAAUACCAGUUUAUCACUGAUACAAUUCAGGAUGCAUCAAUGACUUUGAAAGGAUGUUCUAGUAAUUGCUGUGAUAUUGCACUCUGUGUGAGUUCUGUUUUAUUAUUUUAAUCAUGCAGUUGUUCUGAUCAAAAUUGCUUGUGACAUUGUUUGAGACACUGAGCAAGCUCAUAAUGGGAAAAUCCAUUUCUCUGAAGUGACAGCACUUUAAAUAAUUUAAAGAUAUUCUUCCUGCUCUACCAAAAGGAAGUUUAAUCUAUUACAUUAUCUGUCCAGGCAGCUGCUGUUCAAAGGUGUGGACUAUCUUGAAUUAAG